UGCGUAUAUUUUUGUUAACUGGUGAUAACUAACAUGGUACUAACAGGUUUAUACUCCUUCCGUUUCUGAAUAAGUUUCAUUUUGACAUUUUUUACACAGACUAAGAAAGUAGCAAAAAUAUAUGUAAGUUGUUAUUAAUUACAUCUUUCUGACCAAUAAUAUUUGAGAUAAAUAAAAUUAUUUAUAAAACCAAUAUAGUUUGCAAUUAAUUUUCAGUUGAAAGUAAGUAUAAUUUGCAUUAGAAUUGUAAAAUGACAUUUUUUAUGUAACAAAAAAAAAUUAAAAUAACACUUAUUAUAAAACAGAUGGAAUAUUAAAUUAUAAACAUUUUGGUUUGCACAUAACUACUUAAUUAGGUUGAACUUGUAUGAGAGGGGUCAAAUGGUUUAAUAAGCAAAUUAAAUACUUGCCAAAAAUUUGGUUUACACUUUACACUUAUAACUUUUUUGUUAGUAUUUUACUCCAUUUGUUUCGUAUUAAAUGUCAAUUUAGCAUUUUUUUGUUACAAAAAGAGUGUCAUUUUAGAAAUUUCAUACAACUUUCAGCUUAAAAUUAAUUACAAAUGCAUUGAUUUUAUAAAUAGUUUCAUUUAUCUCAAAUAUUAAUGGUUGAAUAUGAGUAAUUAAUAAAAACUUUAAUACAUUUCAAUCAUUUUCUUAAUCUGUGUGAAAAUGUCAAAGUGACAUUUUUUAUGAAAUGGAGGGAGUAAUAUGUUUAAAGUAUACCAUUAUUUGUUAUUUAAAAACUGAAAAUGUAAAUAAAUUUAAUGAAUAUAUUUUAUGAUGAAAAUUAUGGAAUUUAUUUUCGAAAUAGAAAAAGUGAUAUGCCAUUUGUUAGAUUAUCAUAUCAUUUUGGGAGGGCGUUAAUAUCUGGCCAAUCAGAACAGUGUUGAUCAAUUAGGUCAAAUACUGAGGGGAGGGGAAAUGGUAGAGAGUGACGUGGCAGAAUGGUUGGAAGCGAAUCUUGAAGUCACCAUGUCACUCCAACUGCAUACUUUCAACAUUUCCCAGAAUUUUAGGUACCAACAUCCCCGGUUUUCUCGGGGCACUCAAUUGGUUACAUUACAAUUAUUUUUAUAAUUAGUUUUAAAAUGAUUAUAUUUUCUAUCGCAUUAGAAAAGAGAUGAAACGUUAAAUAAUUAUGUUCAGAAUAAAAUUUACUUGAAAUGGUAUUACAUGAUCAUUGCGUAUACACAAGCCCAUCAGGCCAUCACUAGUAUAUGCGAUCUUUUAUACAGGAGAACCGGCACGAAUAUCAUUGUUAUUCUAACUAUUGAAUUGGUUUUGUUUGCUAUUAGUAUGAAUGGAGCAUGUUUUGUAACUAGCAAAUGUCUUCUUAUAGAAGCUGUUAUUUUAAAAUUCACAAAAAUCUAUAGUAAAAUCAAAUACAGUACAUGGCAAAUACUAACAAAAGAUAUAUCCCUUUUUUUUUACACUACAAAAUAUUUAUCCAAAUUCACUAAAAUCUAAGUAAAAUAAAAUUCAUUAGUAAAUUCAUAUAACUUAAUAACAGAUGAUUUUAAUAUAUAAUUUAAAAUUAUAACACAUAAAAUCAUGAAGCGAACCGGUUCUAGCAACUUCUUACACAAUCCAAAAAUAUUAUGAUAAAGUAUCACCAUCAAUAUUGAAUUGGUUAAGAAUUUUAAAAAUCUUUUUGGGGUAUAAAUUAAUUAUGACAUUUUAUACUUUAAUUAUAUUUUCAAACCUUAAUUAAUUACAAUAUAAUAUAUAUGUUUUUAUUUAUCUAAAUACAGAAAUUCAAAAGACACACAAUGUCAAAAAAAAAAUCAAAAGACACGCACGCAUAUACGCCAGAUAUGAUCUUCGUGGUCGUGAGGAAUGCAAGGUAGGACCGAAGAUCUAUAUCUAUCGCACCCUAUGUUAAUUGUUGUUAUUAGCAAACUUAAUUAAUUAAUAAUAUGAAAAUCUGAUGAGGAAUUAUCUGGACAAGUAGACAAUAUAUCUCAUGUAAGAAUUUAAGACAGCGGAACUUACGGUGCACCACAUGCUAAUGUCUAUCUAUUUUCUAUUUUUAAGCUAAUGUCCAAUUACCACUUAAGGGAUUUUAUUUUAAACUUAUUAGGCUAAGUUUAUUCUAUUAGUUGUAAAUCAUUCUUUAGUAUCACCUCUAAAAAUGAUUUAUUUUUUUUGAUCAACCAGUACUUAAAUUAAGAUAAAUGGAAGAGUUCAAAGAGAGAUUAGCCCAAAACGUGAUCCAAAUUACAAUAAGAGAAUCUAAGUUCUGUCUUAGCCAAAGCAUCGGCUUCUUCAUUCUGUAAUCUAUGAAUGAAACUAAAAGAUAGAUAAACAAACAAUGAAGAUAUUUGUUUGAUGUCCGUAAGAACAUCAUAUUUUUCCUUGAUCGAUUGUUUGUGGUUGAUUGCGGUAAUAAGCGUUUUACUGUUGGAGUUGAUGCUGAGCUUUGUGAACCCAAACAAAGCUGCCAUGAGGAAGGAUGAUUGAAUUGCUAGAGCUUCUGCCAUCAGAGGGGACACUACAUUGUUAUGAGUCUUGAUCGAUUGUUUGUGGUUGAUUGCGGUAAUAAGCGUUUUACUGUUGGAGUUGAUGCUGAGCUUUGUGAACCCAAACAAAGCUGCCAUGAGGAAGGAUGAUUGAAUUGCUAGAGCUUCUGCCAUCAGAGGGGACACUACAUUGUUAUGAGUCUCGGAAUCUUAUUGAUUGCUUGUCAGGGAGGGUCUUCUGAAGAUCCAUGCUAGUCCAGCCCUAUUCAAGGUGUGACGUGCUUGAUUCCACUCUUUUGCCGCUAAGAUACCUCUAAGUGUUGUUUCAUCUGAAAGGGAUCCUGCUUGUUCGAAUAUCAGUCGAUUCUACGCUGUCCAAAUGGACAAACAUAUAUAAGGGAGGAUGUUUCUCGUGAUUCAAGCGGGAGGAAGACAAAACAUUGCUCUGGAUCUUACUAGAAAUUUCCUCGUCUGUGAUAGAAGCUAUGUGAGUUGUGUUUAGGAUGGGUACUUGAUUCCAAACUUGUAUUGCAAACGGACAGGAGAAGAGCAUAUGUUCGGUUGAUUCAUAUUCUCCAGAGCGCGGGCAUCCAACAUCAGCAAUACUACGUCUGUGGAGAUUCUCUCCCACAGGUUCCAAUCUUGAGGGAGAUCCAGGCGUAUGAAUCUUCAAUAUUCAGCAAACUUGGCUUCAGACAUUGAAUCCUCUCUGCCAUAUCAGGUAGGAUUUCAUGAGUUCUCUAAUUGUUCCACUUAAGCUUUGAUGUUAAGAGAUCUGAUACUUUGAGAUCGAGGCCUGCUUCAGGGAUAGGUCCAAACGGUUUAGUUGGCGUGUUUAGGUAGAUCCAUGAAUCUUGCCAUAUCCUUGUGUUUUGUCUAUUGCCUAUAACAUUUCCUAGAUUGCUCUUCAAUAUAUCUCUUCCAACUAGGAUACCAAACCAACCAUGAGAGCAAUUAAAUGGGGUUUGGACCUCUAGGAAGUGUUUACUGUGACAGUAUUUUCCUUUAAGCACUCAGGCUAGGAGGCAGUCUGGUGCUAUUAAGAUUCUCCAAGCAAUUUUUGCUAGAAGAGCUUGGUUGAAAGCUUGAAUUUUUCUGAAUCCGAGUCCCACUUCAUCCUAAGAGUUUACUAGGCAAUUCCAUGAGAUCCAUCACAGUUCCCUGUUAAAAUGGUUCGAGUUACGGAAAGCAAGAGUUGCAGUUGGAGCGUGAUACUAAUACAACAAUUUUGAACUAAAAUGUUAAAAAUGUGUUAGUGUUUUAAUAUUUAAUCAGAUGUAUACAUCUAUAAACCUUGGAAACGAAUUGAUUUGGUCCACUAUAUCAGUAGAUUGGAUUUGUUUUCAUUUUUAACAAUGUUCUUGACACUAUAUAUAAGGUUAAGCUUAUUUGAAUUAUAAAAGUAUUCUAUA